rnacentral:rRNA from 1 species
GACAGAGGGUGCAAACGUUGCUCGGAAUCACUGGGCGUAAAGGGCGUGUAGGCGGGACAGUAAGUCGGGCGUGAAAUCCCUGGGCUCAACCCAGGAACUGCACUCGAAACUACUAUUCUUGAGUGUCGGAGAGGAAAGCGGAAUUCCUGGUGUAGAGGUGAAAUUCGUAGAUAUCAGGAGGAACACCAGUGGCGAAGGCGGCUUUCUGGACGAUAACUGACGCUGAGACGGCGAAAAGCGUGGGGAGGACAACAGGGAUUCAAGAAC